UACAGAGGGUGCAAGCGUUAAUCGGAAUUAUUGGGCGUAAAGGGCGUGUAGGCGGAUGAAUAAGUUGGAUGUGAAAUACUCGGGCUUAACCUGGGGGCUGCAUUCAAAACUGUUUGUCUAGAGUACGGUAGAGGGAGGUAGAAUUUCAGGUGUAGCGGUGAAAUGCGUAGAUAUCUGAAGGAAUACCGGUGGCGAAGGCGACCUCCUGGACCGAUACUGACGCUGAGGCGCGAAAGCGUGGGGAGCAAACAGG
rnacentral:rRNA from 1 species